rnacentral:rRNA from 1 species
CAGUAGCCGCGGGAAUACGUAGGUGGCAAGCGUUGUCCGGAAUUAUUGGGCGUAAAGCGCGCGCAGGUGGUUUAAUAAGUCUGAUGUGAAAGCCCACGGCUCAACCGUGGAGGGUCAUUGGAAACUGUUAAACUUGAGUGCAGGAGGGAAAAGUGGAAUUCCUAGUGUAGCGGUGAAAUGCGUAGAGAUUAGGAGGAACACCAGUGGCGAAGGCGGCUUUUUGGCCUGUAACUGACACUGAGGCGCGAAAGCGUGGGGAGCAAACAGGAUUAGAUACCCGCGUAGUCCCUGUCUCUUAUAC